UUUUUUUUAAAAUAUUAAUUAUUAAUUGUCUUCAUAUAGUAUAUAUUUUACUAGUUGUUAAAUUAGAAGCUCAACAAUAAUAAAAUAGAGGAGAAAGGAUCAACAAUUUUCACCUCAUAAAAAAUUGCUCGGAAGUAUAUCAAUAUUGGACUCAUUUUGAAGCUCGUAUUUUAAAAUGACGUAUUAUAAUUUUUAUUUUUGUCAAAAUAUUAUUUUACAAGGGACCAAUUCUUGAUAAUUCUAUUUACCUUUUUUCCCUAUUCCAUAAAAAAUAAAAUAAAAAAUUCAAAAAUCAUUUUCAAAGUUUCCAUCUGUGUCUUUCUCCUUUGCCUUUUUUUUGGGGUUCCACACGCAACUUUCCAUUUUUUAUUUCUUCCUUCUUUUCUUUUGGGGAUCCACAUGUUUUCUCUUUUUUGACUUCAUACCAUAUUUUCCCUAAAUUGCUCCAUCUCCCUUCUCUUUCUCCUGCAAACCAGCCGCCUCCCUCAUCUCCUUUGUCCUCUCUCCUUCUCUCCGUCCCUCACCUGCGCUCCCUUUCCCCGAUUUUCCUCCACUCUCAUCCGUCGCUGUCCCCCACUCGCUACACCCCGCUCCUCUUCUUCUUCCAUCUAAAACCCUAAUCACAAUCCUAUAAAAAGAGGGGAACGAGGAGAAGCGAGGAGGACGAAAAGACCUCUCAUUUAAGCUAUUUUUCUACUUUUGCUAAAAAAAAACAUUAGCAUUUUAUAUCUUUCAAUCUCUGUCCGUUUCUAUUUUGUAAAAGGAGAGUAGAUCUGAGACUUGACGCCCCGUUCACUGUGCUCACAAGAGAGUUUGACUUCGAAACUCAAGGACACCGCUUAUGGAGUCCACAUAUCUGCGCGAAUUUUUCUUGUCUCUCAAAUAUCAAUUUACAGAGGGGAUUUUGUCCUCCCAUUAAAGCCGAAUGUGCUACUUAAUCGUCCCUCUUUUCUCUGGUUGUUUUGCUUACUUAUGAUGGUGAAUGAUUUUAUUUUCAGUUAUGUAUUUACCGUUAAAAGUAGGAUUGUUAUACAAUUAAUUAAUGACUAAGCCUUAAGUAAUUAUUUAAAGUCCUUGCCUUAUAACAUUUUUUUAGGAUUAAUAAUUCAAUAACUUUAGGAUAUUGAACAUUGAUUUUGAGUGGUAAUUUGGUUUCAAGCUAAAAAAAAAUAGUAACUUUUUUUUUUAAAAUAAACCACUCUAGUUUGUAAGUGAUUCUACUACAAUCAGAGUCGUUUUCUUCUUUACGUUUAGUAUAGUUAAGCUAACUAUUAAGAAUUGUUUUUCAAUUCUAAACUCACUUUUUUUUCAACUUUGAAUCCAAACUUUUCCCAUUAACUAAUUUUGACUUUAUAUAGUCUAUUAAAAGGGUCUAAAGUUUACCUUGUUUUGCAAUAGGACAUUCUCAAACUUUGGUACAUUUUGGUCCCAAACAUUCUUUUAAAAAUCAAGUCUUAAAUCAGGAGUUCAGUUGUCCAAAUGCUAUGCAGUUUAAUAUAUAAGUUUUUUUUUUUCACGAAAUGCAUUAGCACUUGUAUUUUAACGACCUCCUAAAGCCUAAUUAAUUCAUCUAAGUCCUGUCGGUUAACCAUUGUUAAUGGGUCUUAAAGGGUGCCUAAUACCUUCCUUUUAGACUAAUUGAACCCUUACCUAGAAUCUCAAGUUUCGCAGACCUCAAACAGAGUUAACUUUAAACAUAACUUUAAUAAACUUUAGGUGUCCUAAUUCACCAUAAAUAAUUAGGUGGCGACUCCUUUAAAACAAGCAUAUUUAGGAAUCUCCAAUACGUCAUACUUCUAAUUUAACCCUCCGGGGUAAAAAAAAGGGGUGUGACAGCUUGGCGACUCCGCUGGGGAUUUCUUUUAGGUUCUAACCAUAACGGACUUAGUUUAAAUAGGUUUUGUGUGCUUAUUUUGAUUACUUUAUUUGUUUGUUAACUGUUUUUACAUGCUAUUAAUUGUUUGCUUGAUAUAAACUGUUUGUUUGAUAUAAACUGUUUAUGUGUUACUGCUUUGAUAAACUGUCAUUCCGUUCAUAUUUCCUCCACUUCUGAAAAACUCACACAUAUUCACACACUUAAAACGGCUUCGCGGUUCGCGCCCGUUCACUACUAAAUUACCCCUUUAGUUGGAUUGAUCUUGUGGAUUUAGUCGAUCAGCGGUGCAGUCGACGGCCACGGACUUUCCACUCUCAAGUUGUCCGCUUGGGAGAACCUUGUGUCAUAGGAAGCCAACUCUUAGUCAGCCUAAGAUAGAGCUAAACCAACACCCUUUAUUAAGAGCAUACAUUUCAUGACCUAGGAGGUUUAAUACCCUUGGUGCAUUAAAUCCAUUAGAUGACUUUACCCAAACGUCCAAGCGGGUUCACAACCCCAAGUGACACCAAUCAUACUUUAUGUGCAUGUUUAAAGGAUAACUGUGCCUAAAUAUUGACUAUUUGCUUUAAUUAAUUAAACUUUAGGAGGGAAGGAUGAUUAACGUUUCUAUGACAGGUAUGGAUUUGCAUUGGAGUACAAUGAAUGACGAAGAUCAAUGACAUCACAAAAACGGGGCUGAGAUUUAGACAUAGGAAAUUGUAUUCACUUCAUUUAGAUUAGGAAACACUUUAUGUUGUAUUCAUUUGACAUGUAAUAAACGUUACAUUACUUUUGUA